rnacentral:rRNA from 1 species
AUUGAACGCUGGCGGCAGGCCUAACACAUGCAAGUCGAGCGGAUGACGGGAGCUUGCUCCUUGAUUCAGCGGCGGACGGGUGAGUAAUGCCUAGGAAUCUGCCUGGUAGUGGGGGACAACGUUUCGAAAGGAACGCUAAUACCGCAUACGUCCUACGGGAGAAAGUAGGGGACCUUCGGGCCUUGCGCUAUCAGAUGAGCCUAGGUCGGAUUAGCUAGUAGGUGAGGUAAUGGCUCACCUAGGCGACGAUCCGUAACUGGUCUGAGAGGAUGAUAAGUCACACUGGAACUGAGACACGGUCCAGACUCCUACGGGAGGCAGCAGUGGGGAAUAUUGGACAAUGGGCGAAAGCCUGAUCCAGCCAUGCCGCGUGUGUGAAGAAGGUCUUCGGAUUGUAAAGCACUUUAAGUUGGGAGGAAGGGCAGUAAGUUAAUACCUUGCUGUUUUGACGUUACCGACAGAAUAAGCACCGGCUAACUCUGUGCCAGCAGCCGCCGCGG